rnacentral:lncRNA from 1 species
CAGCCCACAGCCCACAGCCCAGCCCACAGCCCCCAGCCCACAGCCCAGCCCGCCUCACCUGCAGCUUCCGCGCAGAGCAACCGGGUCCAUGGCGGUCCUGCGGGCCCGGAGUGGAGAGCGGGCGGCGGCCUCCUGAGGGCCUGGGCGGUGAGUGCGCACCCCGCGGAGCCCUCGGGCGCGAUCACCGCAGCUUCCUCCUCCUCCUCUACGCGGGCUCCCGGCCCAGCCCCUAAGGCCACCACGCCGAGGCCUGGCUGCCCCGCGAGGGGACGGCGGCUCCUGGGCGCCUUCUCCUUCCCGUCGUCCAUCCCGGAUGCACGUGACUCCUCUGGCCCCGCCCCCUUCCCGUCAUCCUUUCUGCUCGCGCCGGGACGUCUACUCAGGGUGUCAGACGCAGGGGCCUGCUGGUCCCGCCGGUGUGGGCCGCUGGCUGUGUCCGCCUGAGCUGAGGUGCCUGGCAGUGCUGAUCCAUCACAGAUGCUCAGUCAUCAGUUAUUGAUACCUGAGGCCGCCAGCCAGGCCAUCGUUUGCCUGAGGAAAUCCAGUCCCUGAGAUGAAGGCAGCAGCUUCUGUUUACGUAUGGCCCUGCAGCUGCUCUGCACCCUGACCCAGAAUAUCCCUGCAACCUAUGCAAACUGAGGUCCAGCCCUGCUGCCGGCCCGUCCGUGGCCCCGGGAAUGAACCCUCAUCCUGGCUGCCCUCACCGUGGCCUGUCCAGAUGCAGGAGCUCCUCUCUGAAUCUGGGGCUACUGGCAGGAGGAACUCCACCCAAGGAGAGUUCGGGAUUGUCAUGAGAGACAGGACGGCGUUUGUGCACAGUGCAGAGCAUCAGGUGCUGGCUGGGGGCCUCAGGCCCCAGGGAAGAGAGUCACCCACCAGGCCAACUAGGAAAGGUGAAAGGUGAAAGGUGAGUGCCCCUACGGCAGAAAGCAAAGCUGAGACAGCAUCGCGAGCUGAGGGAGAAACUGACAGACGGCAGUUCACCAAAACCCAAAAACUGGUCAUUCUCUGGCCUUUAACAAACCAAAGUGUAUUUCUCUCUCUGAAAUAAGAAACACAAGACAAUUAUUAAGUUCCAAAAGUACGUUUCAUUUUGGAGGCACAUCACUGGUCCCCUUUGGAAUCAUGAACCUCUGUGAGCGAAACACCUCCCACCGUUGAUUCUGACAAGGCGCCCGGGGCAGUUCCCUGCCCAGGUGGAGACAGACAUCUGUGAGCAAAACACCUCCCACCGUUGAUUCUCACAGGACGCCCCAGGCAGUUCCCCCCCCAGGUGGAGGCAGACAGGUGCAGAGCCACAGGGCCACCACUGCAGAUCCAGCCAUCUCUCCAACCCCGGGUGCACCCACGGUUAUCAGGGACCCAGCGCUGCCUCCCUGCACCCACACGGCUCUCCACAGCAGCAAACGGGGUACAUUAGGGUGGACGGGAUGUGGAGCCAGGGCCCUGCUAGGGCUGGGGCAGCCUGUGGAGGGCCAGCACCAAGCAGUUCUGGGUUUGCAGGGCGGCCCUAUGUCAGCUGUUCAACACACGGGGGAGGCACCUCAGAUGGCUACAGGUUUGAUUGUGUCCCCACAAAACUUCAUAUGUUGAAGUCCUAACCCCCAGCACUGCCGAAUGUGACCGUAUUUGGAAAUGGAGUCAUCAAAGAUAUCAUUGGCCACAUUAAGAUAAGGUUAUACUAGAGUAGGGGGACCCCCUAUCUUAAUAGGACUGGUGUCCUUAUAAAAAGAAGGAACCUGGACACAUCAGGGAGAACGCCAUAGGAGGACAGAGGCAGAGAUUGGGAUGAAGCUUCUCUAAGCCGCGGAGGGUGGCCCGGAACCGACCCUUCCCUCACGGCCCUCGGAGGGCGCUCACCCUGCCCACACCUUGACCUCGGACAUGUGGCCUCCAGAACCUGUGCAGUGAGUUGCUGCCGCCUGAGCCUCCCAGCCUGUGGUGCUUCCGUGUGGAAACCAAGCAAACUCCUCCAGGCACAUUCACAGCCAUUGGCAUGGGCCUCCGACACUGACCAGGGUCACCCGUCACCUCUGCCCCUUCCCACCACUCCCCAGCCCGGGUGCCACACUGUAAAAACAGCCUCAAAAAGCACAUGAGAUCCAUAGCUCCUCCAGGAGACUAGGCCAGCCCCAAGCACAUCCAGAGAGGUGGCUGCUCCCUGGAGGCUCUCGCCAAAGCCGCCGGAGACAGCUGCCAUCCUCGCUCACUCAUCCUUGCCUGGAGCCUAAACCCUGACCAGCCAGUUCUACACAUUUAUGUCUUUUUCUGGCCUCACACACUGCCUAGAAUAUCCAGUCAAAUGUUGAGAAGUAGUGGUCAAAGCAGAAAGCCCAGCUUUAUCCCCAGUCUUAGCAGGUAUGUGUUUGCUGUUUCACGUUAAGAUAUUGGCUGGCGGCCGGGCGCGGUGGCUCAUGCCUGUAAUCCCAGCACUUUGGGAGGCCGAGGCGGGCAGAUCACAAGGUCAAGGGAUCAAGACCAGCCUGGCCAACAUGGUGAAACCCCAUCUCUACUAAAAAUACAAAAAUUAGCUGGACGUGGUGGCGGGCACCUGUAGUCCCAGCUACUCAGGAGGCUGAGGCUGGAGAAUCACGUGAACGUGGGAGGUGGAGGUUACAGUCAGCCAAGAUCGCACGCACUCCAGCCUGGUGACAGAGUGAAACUCUGUCUCAAAAAAAAAAAAAAAAAAGAUACUGGCUGGAGGUUUUUCACAGAUGCCCCUCAUCAGAUCUGGAGAGUUUCCUACUAUUCCCAGCUUUCUGAUGUUUUUUAAAAUCAUGAACGGGUGUCAAAGUGUGUCAAAUUCUUGUUCUGCCUCUAUUGAGGUAAUCAUAAGGGGUUAUUUUCUCCCUUACUUUGUUACUGUGGAGAGUGACACUGAUUGAUUUUGAAGGUUAAACCGAGCUAACUUUCCUGAAGAAUCCCCACUUGGUCAUAAUGUAAUAUUGUGUAGAUAUUACUAAAAUUGGAUCUCAUCGGUUAAUACUUUAUUAGGCAUUUCUGCAUCUGAGUUCAUAAGGGAUAUUGGUCUGAAGUUUGCGUUUCUUAUAAUGUGCUUCUCAGUUUUGGUGUUGAUGUUGUACUGGCCUCAGAGAGAGUCGGGAAGUGGUGCCUUCAUUUUCUGAAAGAGGUUUUAUACCCUGGACAUUAUUUCUUCCUUAAAUGUUUGGUAGAAUUUACGGUAAAGUCAUCUGAGACUGUACGUUUCCUUAUGGGUAGUCUUGUGUUUGUUAUAAGUCCAGUAUUUUUCGUUGAUACAGGGCUAUUUCAGUUUUAUAUUUUUUCUUGUGACAGUUUUGAUCAUGUGUGUUUUUCAAAGAGUCCGCCCUUUGCAUCUAAGUUGCAGGAUUUAUCAGGAUAGACUUGUUUGCGAUGUUUCUUUUAACGCAGGGAUGCCAUUUACUCUUAUACUGGAAUUUUUGUUUCUUCUUUUAUCUCCUUGGUCCAUCUUACCAGUAAUUUAUUUACCAGAUCAAUCUUUAAAAAAAAAAAAAAACAACUCUCAACAUUGUCAAUUUCCUUUUGUCUGAUUUUAUUUUAUUCAUUUCUGUUCUUCUCUAUCAUCAUCUUUUUUCUACUUUGGUUUAAUUCCUCUUCUUUAUCUAGCUUUUUAAGAUGAAAGUGUAGAUCACUUAUUUUACGCCCUUUUCAUCUAAAGCAGGCAUUUUAGAGCUAUAAAUUUUCCUCUAGCCACUAUUUUAGUUGCACACCACAAAUAUUG